UACGUAGGGUGCGAGCGUUAAUCGGAAUACUGGGCGUAAAGCGUGCGCAGGCGGUGAUGUAAGACAGAUGUGAAAUCCCCGGGCUCAACCUGGGACCUGCAUUUGUGACUGCAUCGCUAGAGUACGGUAGAGGGGAUGGAAUUCCGCGUGUAGCAGUGAAAUGCGUAGAUAUGCGGAGGAACACCGAUGGCGAAGGCAAUCCCCUGGACCUGUACUGACGCUCAUGCACGAAAGCGUGGGGAGCAAA
rnacentral:rRNA from 1 species